rnacentral:pre_miRNA from 1 species
CCUCCGCUGUUUCACUGUGGGAAGUGAGCGCACGAGCGAAAAGG